GGAUGUCAAGGCCAUCUGGCUGUGACCUCUGUCACCCCAUUGAUCACCAGCGUUGAUUCGGCUGACCUGGCUGGCUGGCGGGUGUCCCCUUCCUCCCUCACUGCUCCAUGCGUGUGCCUCCCAGAGCUGUGCGCUCAGUUGAAGAGGAUGGCCUUCCCCUUCUUUGGUCAAGGGUGUAUCAGUAGCUCUGUGCUCCCCUCUAGCUGUGCUAGAACCUCCACACAAGCCCUCAGGGUCCAUUUGUAGGAGAA
rnacentral:lncRNA from 1 species